rfam:TPA: Bos taurus chromosome 10, whole genome shotgun sequence.
UCCCUGCUGGUUCAAAGGUUAAAGCAUCUGCCUGCAAUGCAGGAGACCUGGGUUCUAUCCCUGGGUCGGGAA